UUGGAGGGCAAGUCUGGUGCCAGCAGCCGCGGUAAUUCCAGCUCCAAUAGCGUAUAUUAAAGUUGUUGCAGUUAAAAAGCUCGUAGUUGAACUUCGGGGUCUACCCAUUGGUCAGGCUUAAUUGUCUGUACUGGUGAGAUGGAUCUCUACCUUCUGAGGAACUUUCAUGCCAUUUAUUUGGUGUGGUUGGAAAUCAGGACUGUUACUUUGAAAAAAUUAGAGUGUUCAAAGCAGGCUUACGUCUGAAUACAUUAGCAUGGAAUAAUAAAAUAGGACGGUGGUCCUGUUUUGUUGGUUUCUGAAUCACCGUAAUGAUUAAUAGGGAUAGUUGGGGGCAUUAGUAUUCAAUUGUCAGAGGUGAAAUUCUUGGAUUUAUUGAAGACUAACUUCUGCGAAAGCAUUUGCCAAGGAUGUUUUCAUUAAUCGAGAACGAAAGUUAGGGGAUCGAAGACGAUCAGAUACCGUCGUAGUCUUAACCAUAAACUAUGCCGACUAGGGAUCGGACGAUGUUAAAUUUUAUUGACUCGUUCGGCGCCUUACGGGAAAC
rnacentral:rRNA from 1 species